rnacentral:rRNA from 1 species
GAACGCUAUCGGUAUGCUUAACACAUGCAAGUCGAACGAACUAAUUGGGGCUUGCUCUAAUUAGUUAGUGGCAGACGGGUGAGUAACACGUGGGAAUCUGCCCAUCAGUAUGGAAUAACUUUUAGAAAUAAAAGCUAAUACCGUAUAUUCUCUACGGAGGAAAGAUUUAUCGCUGAUGGAUGAGCCCGCGUCAGAUUAGGUAGUUGGUGAGGUAAUGGCUCACCAAGCCUACGAUCUGUAGCUGGUCUGAGAGGAUGAUCAGCCACACUGGGACUGAGACACGGCC